rnacentral:rRNA from 1 species
UGAGUAACGCGUACGUAACCUGCCCUUCAGUGGGGAAUAGCCCCGGGAAACUGGGAUUAAUGCCCCAUGGUACUUUCGAUCUGCCUGGAUUGAAAGUUAAAGCUUCGGCGCUGAAGGAUGGACGUGCGUCUGAUUAGCUGGUUGGUGAGGUAACGGCUCACCAAGGCGACGAUCAGUAGGGGGCGUGAGAGCGUGACCCCCCACACGGGUACUGAGACACGGACCCGACUCCUACGGGAGGCAGCAGUAAGGAAUAUUGGGCAAUGGAGGCAACUCUGACCCAGCCAUCCCGCGUGCAGGAAGACGGCCCUACGGGUUGUAAACUGCUUUUAUGAAGGAAGAAAGGUUGGCAUUUAUGCUGAUUUGACGGUACUUCAGGAAUAAGCACCGGCUAACUCCGUGCCAGCAGCCGCGGUAAUACGGAGGGCGCGAGCGUUAUCCGGAAUCACUGGCUUAAAGGACACGUAGGCGGCCUCGUAAGUCAGUUGUGAAAGCUCUCGGCUCAACCGAGGAACUGCAGCUGAUACUGCGAAGCUAGAGGACGGUAGGGGAGAGCGGAACUCUUGGUGGAGCGGUGAAAUGCGUAGAUAUCAAGAGGAACACCGGUGGCGAAGGCGGCUCUCUGGUCCGUUACUGACGCUGAGGUGUGAAAGCCAGGGUAGCGAACGGGAUUAGAUACCCCGGUAGUCCUGGCCCUAAACGAUGAGCACUAGGUAGUGGAAGCCCUGCGUUUUCACUGCUGUAGCGAAAGCGUUAAGUGCUCCGCCUGGGGAGUACGGUCGCAAGGCUGAAACUCAAAGGAAUUGACGGGGGCUCACACAAGCGGGGGAGCAUGUGGUUUAAUUCGAGGCAACGCGAAGAACCUUACCCGGGUUUGACAUGCAAGGAUUAGCUUCCUGAAAGGGAAGUGACGCCUUUCGGGGUGGAACUUGCACAGGUGCUGCACGGCUGUCGUCAGCUCGUGCCGUGAGGUGUUGGGUUAAGUCCCGUAACGAGCGAAACCCUUGUCGUUAGUUGCCAGCGGGUAAAGCCGGGGACUCUAACGAGACUGCCGUUGUUAAGACGGAGGAAGGUGGGGACGACGUCAAGUCAUCAUGGCCCUUAUGUCCGGGGCUACACACGUGCUACAAUGGCCGGUACAGAGGGUAGCGAAGUCGAGAGGCGGAGCUAAUCUCAGAAAGCCGGUCCCAGUUCGGAUUGAAGGCUGCAAUUCGCCUUCAUGAAGGCGGAAUCGCUAGUAAUCGCGGAUCAGCAAUGCCGCGGUGAAUAUGUUCCUGAGCCUUGUACACACCGCCCGUCAAGCCACGAAAGCCGGGAGCGCCCGAAGCCUAUAGUCCAAC